rnacentral:rRNA from 1 species
UACGAAGGGGGCUAGCGUUGCUCGGAAUUACUGGGCGUAAAGUGCACGUAGGCGGCUUUCUAAGUCGGGGGUGAAAUCCUGGAGCUCAACUCCAGAACUGCCUUCGAUACUGGAGCUUGAGUCCGGGAGAGGUGAGUGGAACUGCGAGUGUAGAGGUGAAAUUCGUAGAUAUUUGCAAGAACACCAGUGGCGAAGGCGGCUCACUGGCCCGGUACUGACGCUGAGGUGCGAAAGCGUGGGGAGCAAACAGGG